GACCCGGUGCGACGUCGCAACGGCCGAUGGGACGUCCUGAACAUCGCCAUCAAUCCGGCCGCCUAAAAACGCUCUUGUCCUGGAGAUCAUCUUCAUCGAGGACGAGAACCAUUUCCGAGCCAUCGAACUCGCGGCUACCCCGAUUUGGCUCUGCGCGCGACGAAGACGAAGUGACCUUCGAAGUCCCGAAACUCUGCAGGACAUCAGUCUGCUCGUUCGGCUUUCGUCCUAAGCCAAACGCGUUUUGAGUGCAUGGCCCGCGGCGAGAGAUUAUCGCGGGCUUUCGACCGCGCCGCGCGUCUCAUCAGGCGGACAAAUAUCGCUGUAGCACUUUGACCUGCUGCAUGUUUUGAACCUUAAGCCGGAUAGGUUUCAAGGAAAUCAGACCGCUCCCCUGAUCGCGUCACCACCCUCCCAUCCCAGUAGACGACGGUAGCUUCGUUCUCGCUUGCUUCAUCAUGCUGAUGCGCGCCGCUUCAACAUCCCGCGCAUGCCCAACCCACUGGCUCCGCCGGGCGGAGGCGGCAAGCAUGCUUCCUGCUGCAGCUUUUUUGCGCCACAAAGUGCGCAAGCUCAGCACGGCCAGAUAUACCUCGACCGAGGCAUCAUCCGCGGAUUCUGCCUCCCGCGGACGAUGCUCGGUGGCCAACCAAGAGAAAACGAGGAACUGGAUCACCGCGGAAGGUUGCGUCGGCAUCGCUCAACCGGUAGCACGGCUCCAGGCCGUCCACGUUGCCAUCU
rnacentral:misc_RNA from 1 species